UUAUGAAAUGCCUAAGAUACCUUGAGUGAAAGACCCCUGAUAUUCAGUCCUCUUCCUCUUUCUCCGUUCGCUGAAACAACAACAGCUCACCCUCGACCUUUGUCGCUGAACCGAAGGAGAAAGAGGAGAAUCAUGGUCAUGGUGAGUCCCCUUCAUCGAAGCUUCCACAUGCGAUGACCUCCUCAUUAGCUUGAAUCGUCUUCUACAUUGGAGCUUCUUCUUUCUCAAGUCAUGCGAUGAAUCAGUGCUUACUUCUAUAUGCGAUUUGGAGCCCUAGAUUUCAAAUCUAGGAAGUGGAAAACCAAUUUCUUCUCCCCUUUCUUAUCCCCUUCCCCUCUGUCGCCAAAACACAGUUGCUUUUUACCUGAAAUCCCUCGCUGAACCGGAGCAAAAGGAGAAGAAGCUUGAAGCUUCAAAUCGUUCAUCGACAACCUGUGGGAAAGUUGUAAUGCCGCGUUUGUCCUCCAUUUUUGUUUGAGGUUCUCUUUGUUGCAGCUUCUCACAGUACAUGGUAUUUCUUCUUCUUCUUCAAUUUUCAGUUGCAGAGAGCUAUUAGAAGUGGGAGAUGAGCUUGAGGUACACGAGCAGAGUAAUGUUGUACAAAGCAGGGAUGCGAGACCAGGCCUCCAAUUGCGACUCCGACGUCUAUUCCCUUAAGGAGUCUACCUGUACUUGUUUCUCUUCUUCUUCCAAACAGGCGAGGCUUUUCACCAAUUCCGUCGAUUCCCCUGCUUUAAAGACAGCCAAGAGCGGUGAUCAUUCCAAGCUUCGACAGGAAGAGGAAUCCUUUCGGACGGUCAUGUACUUGAGUUGUUGGGGCCCCAGUUGAUUGAUCAUCUCAAGAGGCAUAAGCAGAAAUGAUUGUUCUGUUCUAUCGUAAUAGUUUGUAUCCAAAUAAAGAUCCAAUUUUCCCUCUUCUUGAUCAGUUUUGAACGAUUUCACGAUUGUACUCUGCUUCUUGUACAUGGGUUGAUGUAUACAAGAGUUUCAUAUGUUUGGAGCCAUGGAAA